CCGGGGGGGCAACCUUGACCUGCUAAAUCAACAUUCCGGAAUUAAAUAGUCGGCC
rnacentral:tRNA from 1 species